UCGGGCGUGGUGUACGGCACACCGCCGGCUUUUCUGGUACAUGUAUGUGCACUCUGUAAGUAGCCGGCAGUCCGCGGCCGGGGUUCGACUCCCCGCGUCCGAG